ensembl:lncRNA
CUAUUUCACGUCAUUAAAGUGCUGGUUAAGGUUAGGAAUAAGGUUAUGGUUAGGUUUAGGGAUAAGGUUAGGUUUAGGCGUAGGGAUAUGGUUAUGGUUAAGGUUAGGAAUAAGGUUAUGGUUAGGCAUAAGGUUAUGGUUAAGGUUACAAAUAAGGUUAUGGUUAGGCUUAGGGAUAAGGUUAGGUUUAGGGCUGCAAUACAGGGCUGGAACCCGCCGCGUACCAUAACAACGUGGAAGGUCACCUUUCGCGUUCCUCAGGAACGCCGCGGGACGUGACAAAAUGUCGGGAUGUUACGCCUCGGGAGUGAGAACGGGCUCAAAUGGCUCAUUGGGACAUAGGGUUUAAUUUAAAGGUUUCUAUCACCUAAUAUCGAGUGUCAAACAAUAUCAAAGCUGUAAAAGCUGUUUACAGUCAGAAUUUAUAAAAACUAUGAUUGUAAAUAAAUUCAAACAAGUGAGCUUUUCUCUUUGUGUUGAAUAUAAACACUGUGACUUCUUAGCCUGUAAGCUU